rnacentral:rRNA from 1 species
GAUGAACGCUAGCGGCAGGCCUAAUACAUGCAAGUCGGACGGGAUCCAUCGGUAGCUUGCUACCGAUGGUGAGAGUGGCGCACGGGUGCGUAACGCGUGAGCAACCUGCCCAUAUCAGGGGGAUAGCCCGGAGAAAUCCGGAUUAACACCGCAUGACACUGCUUUCCGGCAUCGGGAGGCGGUCAAAUAUUCCUAGGAUAUGGAUGGGCUCGCGUGACAUUAGCUAGUUGGUGGGGUAACGGCCCACCAAGGCGACGAUGUCUAGGGGCUCUGAGAGGAGAAUCCCCCACACUGGUACUGAGACACGGACCAGACUCCUACGGGAGGCAGCAGUAAGGAAUAUUGGUCAAUGGGGGCAACCCUGAACCAGCCAUGCCGCGUGCAGGACGACUGCCCUAUGGGUUGUAAACUGCUUUUGUUAGGGAAUAAACCCCGCUACGUGUAGCGGGCUGAAUGUACCUAAAGAAUAAGGAUCGGCUAGCUCCGUGCCAGCCGCCGCCGUAA